rnacentral:rRNA from 1 species
UACGGGGGGAGCAAGCGUUGUUCGGAUUUACUGGGCGUAAAGGGCGCGUAGGCGGUGUGACAAGUCACUUGUGAAAUCUCCGGGCUUAACUCGGAACGGUCAAGUGAUACUGUCGGACUAGAGUACAGAAGGGGGCAACUGGAAUUCUCGGUGUAGCGGUGAAAUGCGUAGAUAUCGAGAGGAACACCUGCGGCGAAGGCGGGUUGCUGGGCUGAUACUGACGCUGAGGCGCGAAAGCCAGGGGAGCGAACGGG